UUUCCAGUGGGUUGCCUCCCUCGCCCCCUCUCCGGAGCCGUCCCCUCUGACUCACCGGUACGGGAGGUUGCGAGGUUCGCAGCUCGGGCUGGAAUA